CCUCUUUCCUUGGCCUCCCAAAACACCAGCAUUACAAGCAUGAGCCAUGGUGGUCGCUCAAAAGUAACUUUUCUACAUAAGAAGAUGUAACUGACCUGAAUUUGAGUUACUGCCACACAGACUUUGAAGAUGAGACCAUGCACUAAUUUGCUAUACCCCAAGAAUGCGUAAUUGCAGUGGAGUUUCAAAGUUACUCUGGCCUUGAGAACAACUUUGAGAAAGAGAGGAAAAAAAAAAGAAAAAGAAAAUAGUUGGCAGCGCAUUAAGGACACAAGGCAGAGAAAAAUGUAGGUUCCUGAAAUGUUUAAGGGUGAUGGAAAUCAUCUACUUUUGGGAACUGCCUAACAGAAUUUAG